CUCCUCUCCUCCCACUCACAACGUCUCGACGCCGCUUCCCUUUCCUCGGAGGAGUCGACUUCAGGGGAUCGGGAUGGCGGUCGCCGCCGGCGUGUGCACUCCGAAGGCGGGCCAGCGGAGGAAGUCGGCCUCAGGAGUUGGGAGCGGCGGGGCCUCGCCGAGGACCCCAACGAGCCGCGGCGCCGCCAAGGAUCCCAGGACACCGGCCAGGGGCGGAUCCGCCUCGCCAAGGACGCCGGCCAGCGGGGCUGCCGCGCCGCGUCGGCACUCGAGUACUCCGAAGACCAAGAGCGUGCCCAUACUGAUGAUCGCGAAGAAAUGCUCAAGCUGCCCCAGGGGCUGGGCGCCCGUGUGCGUGCUACGGGAUGGGGGGAAGGGGUCUCCCCUCCGCCGAGCACGCACGGGCUCGGACACUCAGCCGUCGCCGUGCCAGCCGAAGAAGUUUGUGAAGAAGCUUUUCCAGAUGACUUCGUACAAGUCGAGAACCCCUCCCGAAACUAAAGCUACCCCGCCCCAGCUGUAUUGUGUUGUGAAUACGCUCAACUUGAAUAUUGGAUAGGAUCCAUCCAAGGAUGCCUUUUGCAAACAAAGAACAGCCCACAACAGACCAUGGCAAGAAAUUGGACAUGUGUUCCACUGAAGUGCUGGUUUCUGAUGAGGAGGAUUCAGAAGUGCCGAUCACUGUUCAUCACCCACUGAAGAAAGUUGCCAAGGGUAGGAAAGCUUAUGGUCAUGGAAAAAGAGAAAGAUUCCCUAGGAUGCUUAAAAAGAUUGAAAAGGGGUUCUUUAACGGUUGAUGCUCCAUAGGGCACUGUCCGGCUCUUCAACCUUGAUCCGACUUAAGACCCACCUACUGAAACUGAUCUAUCACAGGGAUAGUAGUUGAUCAAACAAUAGAAUAAAAAUCAUUUGUUCCUAAGUUUGUCCUACGAGAUAUGAUUGUUCCUAUAGAGAAUUCUUUUGCUCUUAGAUGAAGAGAGUUUCUGAGCACGUUGCUAUAUGACUAUCUAUUCCCGUUUUCAAUUGGAUUCUUGUUCAAUGUGAGUGUUGUCUU